UCUAAGUAGUGAUACUAUUGACAGAUCAGAAGCAAAUGAGAAUGAGGCUUUUGAGCAUUUGACUCCAGAAUUUUUAAGCUGUUUGAAAACGUCUGGUUUGCCUAAUCAUUGCUUAAAAUUGAAGAUUGGCACAACCAUUAUGUUGAUUAGGAAUUUGGAUCAAUCAGAAGGACUUUGCAAUGGUACAAGAUUGACGGUAACAAGGCUAGCAAAUCAUGUGAUUGAGGCUAAGAUUAUUUCAAGUACACAUGUAGGAAACACAAUUUACAUACCUAGAAUGUCUUUGUCUCCUUCGCAAUCCCCUUGGCCAUUCAAACUUAUUAGAAGACAAUUCCCCAUCAUUGUCUCAUUUGCAAUGACAAUAAAUAAAUCUCAAGGUCAAUCAUUAGACUAUGUGGGUUUAUAUUUGCCAAAAGACGUCUUCAGCCAUGGACAACUAUAUGUUGCAAUGUCAAGAGUCAAAAGCAAAGGAGGCUUGAAAAUUUUAAUUCAUGAUAAAGACAAAUUGCCAUUGCAAGUAACAACAAAUGUGGUUUUCAAAGAGGUUUUCCACAACGUUGUAUAGGAAAGAAAGGUCCUACAUUUAAAGGUGACUACCUAAGAUGAUGUUUCACUUAUAAAUUGGUAACUAUAUUUCUAAGGAUACAAGGUGAAUUACGGACUAUACUUUUUGUGAACUAAUUUUGAAGACAAUUAUUUGUCAUUUCAGUUCUAUUUUUUGUUGUUGUUUUAUAUAACCAUGUAAAUCAAAUUAUCGGUAUAUUGG